rnacentral:rRNA from 1 species
UACGAAGGGGGCUAGCGUUGUUCGGAAUCACUGGGCGGAAAGGGCGCGUAGGCGGCCGAUCAAGUCGGGGGUGAAAGCCUGUGGCUCAACCACAGAAUUGCCUUCGAUACUGUUUGGCUUGAGACCGGAAGAGGUAAGUGGAACUGCGAGUGUAGAGGUGAAAUUCGUAGAUAUUCGCAAGAACACCAGUGGCGAAGGCGGCUUACUGGUCCGGUUCUGACGCUGAGGCGCGAAAGCGUGGGGAGCAAACAGG